AGAGUUUGAUCAUGGCUCAGAUUGAACGCUGGCGGCAUGCUUUACACAUGCAAGUCGAACGGGGUGGGGGGCAACUCCCAUUCAGUGGCGAACGGGUGAGUAAUGCAUCGGAACGUGUCCCGUAGCGGGGGAUAACCCGGCGAAAGCCGGACUAAUACCGCAUAUGCUCUACGGAGGAAAGUGGGGGACUCGCAAGGGCCUCACGCUAUGGGAGCGGCCGAUGUCCGAUUAGCUUGUUGGUGGGGUAAUGGCCUACCAAGGCGACGAUCGGUAGCUGGUCUGAGAGGAUGAUCAGCCACACUGGGACUGAGACACGGCCCAGACUCCUACGGGAGGCAGCAGUGGGGAAUUUUGGACAAUGGGGGCAACCCUGAUCCAGCCAUGCCGCGUGCGGGAAGAAGGCCUUCGGGUUGUAAACCGCUUUUAGUCGGGAAGAAAAGGCACGGGCGAAUACCUCGUGUUCUGAC
rnacentral:rRNA from 1 species